AGCCAUGCCGCGUGUGUGAAGAAGGCCUUCGGGUUGUAAAGCACUUUAAUCGGGGAGGAANNGGCUUAUGCUAAUACUGGGUANNNAUGACGUUACCCGCAGAAUAAGCACCGGCUAACUUCGUGCCAGCAGCCGCGGUAAUACGUAGGGUGCGAGCGUUAAUCGGAUUU
rnacentral:rRNA from 1 species